GAAAAGAAAUCAACCGAGAUUCCCCCAGUAGCGGCGAGCGAACGGGGAGCAGCCCAGAGCCUGAAUCAGUGUGUGUGUUAGUGGAAGCGUCUGGAAAGGCGCGCGAUACAGGGUGACAGCCCCGUACACAAAAAUGCACAUACUGUGAGCUCGAUGAGUAGGGCGGGACACGUGGUAUCCUGUCUGAAUAUGGGGGGACCAUCCUCCAAGGCUAAAUACUCCUGACUGACCGAUAGUGAACCAGUACCGUGAGGGAAAGGCGAAAAGAACCCCGGCGAGGGGAGUGAAAAAGAACCUGAAACCGUGUACGUACAAGCAGUGGGAGCACGCUUAGGCGUGUGACUGCGUACCUUUUGUAUAAUGGGUCAGCGACUUAUAUUCUGUAGCAAGGUUAACCGAAUAGGGGAGCCGAAGGGAAACCGAGUCUUAACUGGGCGUUAAGUUGCAGGGUAUAGACCCGAAACCCGGUGAUCUAGCCAUGGGCAGGUUGAAGGUUGGGUAACACUAACUGGAGGACCGAACCGACUAAUGUUGAAAAAUUAGCGGAUGACUUGUGGCUGGGGGUGAAAGGCCAAUCAAACCGGGAGAUAGCUGGUUCUCCCCGAAAGCUAUUUAGGUAGCGCCUCGUGAAUUCAUCUCCGGGGGUAGAGCACUGUUUCGGCAAGGGGGUCAUCCCGACUUACCAACCCGAUGCAAACUGCGAAUACCGGAGAAUGUUAUCACGGGAGACACACGGCGGGUGCUAACGUCCGUCGUGAAGAGGGAAACAACCCAGACCGCCAGCUAAGGUCCCAAAGUCAUGGUUAAGUGGGAAACGAUGUGGGAAGGCCCAGACAGCCAGGAUGUUGGCUUAGAAGCAGCCAUCAUUUAAAGAAAGCGUAAUAGCUCACUGGUCGAGUCGGCCUGCGCGGAAGAUGUAACGGGGCUAAACCAUGCACCGAAGCUGCGGCAGCGACGCUUAUGCGUUGUUGGGUAGGGGAGCGUUCUGUAAGCCUGCGAAGGUGUGCUGUGAGGCAUGCUGGAGGUAUCAGAAGUGCGAAUGCUGACAUAAGUAACGAUAAAGCGGGUGAAAAGCCCGCUCGCCGGAAGACCAAGGGUUCCUGUCCAACGUUAAUCGGGGCAGGGUGAGUCGACCCCUAAGGCGAGGCCGAAAGGCGUAGUCGAUGGGAAACAGGUUAAUAUUCCUGUACUUGGUGUUACUGCGAAGGGGGGACGGAGAAGGCUAUGUUGGCCGGGCGACGGUUGUCCCGGUUUAAGCGUGUAGGCUGGUUUUCCAGGCAAAUCCGGAAAAUCAAGGCUGAGGCGUGAUGACGAGGCACUACGGUGCUGAAGCAACAAAUGCCCUGCUUCCAGGAAAAGCCUCUAAGCAUCAGGUAACAUCAAAUCGUACCCCAAACCGACACAGGUGGUCAGGUAGAGAAUACCAAGGCGCUUGAGAGAACUCGGGUGAAGGAACUAGGCAAAAUGGUGCCGUAACUUCGGGAGAAGGCACGCUGAUAUGUAGGUGAAGUCCCUCGCGGAUGGAGCUGAAAUCAGUCGAAGAUACCAGCUGGCUGCAACUGUUUAUUAAAAACACAGCACUGUGCAAACACGAAAGUGGACGUAUACGGUGUGACGCCUGCCCGGUGC
rnacentral:rRNA from 1 species